rnacentral:rRNA from 1 species
AGGGUUUGAUCAUGGCUCAGGAUGAACGCUGGCGGCGUGCUUAAUACAUGCAAGUCGAACGGACAAAAGAAGCUUGCUUCUUUUGUUAGUGGCGGACGGGUGAGUAACACGUGAGCAACCUGCCCAUAUCAGGGGAAUAACACAGUGAAAAUUGUGCUAAUACCGCAUAAGACCACAGGGAGGCAUCUCCCAGGGGUAAAAGAUUUAUCGGAUAUGGAUGGGCUCGCGUCCCAUUAGAUAGUUGGUGAGGCAACGGCUCACCAAGUCGACGAUGGGUAGCCGACCUCAGAGGGUGAUCGGCCACAUUGGAACUGAGAAACGGUCCAG